UUCGUUAAUUUACAGCCCCACUAACUUUACCAAUCCCGUAACCGCAAACCCUUAAUUUUAUCAGUUCAGUUCCUCUCUCAAAGCUUGCUCGUACCUCCACCGUCCCUUCCGCGGCCGCCGCCGUUCCUGCUGCGUCGAUGCCGCUCUUGUUUUGUGUCUCUUCGUCCAUGUAGUUCGUUGCCCUGUCCUCAUAAGCCACCAGCACCAUUUCGCCGCUCAUGGGUCUCUCAAAGGAACAACUUCUAGCACGGUUACAGAUUUUCAGGCUGUAGGGAGAAUGGGUUAUAGGAGAAGCUACUCCUAGUAGCUUUUGUAGAAGCAUAAUUGAUUCUAGAAGAUCUGAAUGAGAAUCCAAACAAUAACUUGCCAUUAGAAGCUUCAAAUUGAAUUUUCCCAGUAUGAGCAUCCAGUUGUUUUGACUGUUGAAGCCCAGGCAAAAUAUGUUGGAAAUUUAGAGGGUGGCUUGAGUAAAAAUUUAUUUUUGAAGGGUAAAUCAAUGGUGGGAAAGCAUUCCAUUCCCCACUUCUGCAGUGGUUGUUGUGUGUGGAUCAAUUUACUUGGUCUGUCUUCUGGUUGGAUAUGAUUCCUUCACUGAGAUAUGCUUCUUGCCUUCUGCUGUUGUGUCACGGUUUCCAGUGUGUUUGGGUUGUUUAAUGUGCCUCCCAAGUGGUAUUCAUUCUUUUUGUUGGUAGUAUUCCAGCUUCUCAUGCAAAAUGUCUCACUACUUGGACACCUUUGUGGCAUUUUAUCUGGGUUUGCAUGUCAGAUUUCACUCCUUUUGCCUCCCUUCUUUUCAUUUUCUAACUUUGCCAAUAUUUGAGCAAUUGACCUCAAGUUUUAUAUUGGGUUGCUUAAUGUUCCAGAUACAUAUGGCUUGUUUAAUUUCCUCAUACCUAGGACAUCUUUUUAUUCUUCCACUAAAGCCUCUUCCUUGCUUGUAAGUAUCUUUCUGGAAUUGGCUUUGGUACUGCACAAAGAUGAGAAAACUUGCAUUUGAUUGCUUUCUAUAUCCUCUUGCUGUUAUCAUUAGACUUGAUUCAUAUACAUAUCAAAUCACAUUUAUAAAUUGUACUUUUGAUCUGUUUAUAAACA